UACGUAGGGGGCAAGCGUUGUCCGGAAUCAUUGGGCGUAAAGAGCGUGUAGGCAGCCCGAUAAGUCCGCUGUGAAAGUCCAGGGCUCAACCCUGGGAUGCCGGUGGAUACUGUCGGGCUCGAGUCCGGAAGAGGAGUGUGGAAUUCCUGGUGUAGCGGUGAAAUGCGCAGAUAUCAGGAGGAACACCAAUGGCGAAGGCAGCACUCUGGGACGUGACUGACGCUGAGACGCGAAAGCGUGGGGAGCAAACAGG
rnacentral:rRNA from 1 species